rnacentral:tRNA from 1 species
CAGAGUAUAGUUUAAAAAAUAUUAGUUUUGGAGACUAAAGAAAUCUAUUAAAAGGUUAUUCUGA